rnacentral:rRNA from 1 species
GACGAACCGUGCGAACGUUGUUCGGAAUCACUGGGCUUAAAGGGCGCGUAGGCGGAGGGUAAAGUCGGUGGUGAAAGCCUUCAGCUUAACUGGAGAAGCGCCUCCGAUACUGACUCUCUGGAGGGAGGUAGGGGCAUGUGGAACUCAGGGUGGAGCGGUGAAAUGCGUAGAUAUCCUGAGGAACGCCGGUGGCGAAAGCGACGUGCUGGACCUCUUCUGACGCUGAGGCGCGAAAGCCAGGGGAGCGAACGGG